AGGUAAAAUACUAAAAAUUAAUUCACUCAACUCUCUCAGUUCUCUCACUACCGUAUCUCUCAAUUUUCUCACUACCGUCUCUCUAAAGUUCAUGCUAAAUCGAGAUUUUUUGGAUAUGAAGAUGUUAGGAUUCAGAGAUUAAAAGGCUCCUUCUGUGCAUAAUGCAACUCCAAAAAAAUGGGUCUCCACCUCUAGUUCUCCAUUGGCCUAAUUCCUCUUAGAUUUGAAGUAACGUUGAAGUUGCACCAACUGCGAACUUGAGGGUUUCACGGAGUUUGGGAAAAAAUUAAAUUUCUUAUUUAUAGGGUUUCAAUUUGGUUGAGGUAUUGUAAACUCACCUCCUCUUGAGAGUUUCAAUUUGGUUGAGAUAAUGUAAACAAUGAACUCUAAUUUUAUUCAAAAUAGUAUAUUAUUGUUGCCUCGGUAUUUUGCACCAGCUGA